ensembl:lncRNA
GAGUGAAAGUAGCAAUUCCUCCUUAAGGUCAGAGAUUGAAGCAUCUGAGGGCCUCUUCAAAAGAAGACGUAGUUGAUGAAGGCGUUCUGGAGGAGGACCAGAAAGACCACGACCAAGCAGCCUUGAGAUCUUAGGCAGCGUCUCCCUCAGGUCCCUCUCUAUCUCCCCACACAUCCACCAACCACUGGAACACAUCUCCAAAGUUCUGCCGGGCCAGCUCAGCUUCCCCUCAGAAGAAGUGGCGCCACCUGCCAGAUGAAGGAGCCUUUUGAGAGGCAGCUGGCAUCGUGAUUGGACUGUACUUUGGUCUGUUCCAAUCCAGCUUCAGCUCCAGAGACGGCAGGCGGGACGAGUCAACGGAGGCCGGGUGGACGAAGACCAAAGAACUACAGACUCUUCACAACCUGCUCAAACUCUUGGUACAGGACCUCACCACAUGGGUCAAGAAGGUUUCCGUCUCAUUUCUACUCUGAAGCUCACCUUCUCCUGCUCAAACUACUGACAAAUGUUUCUGCUGCUCUAAAGUCUGGUCUCCACAACUUCCUAAAAACUCUCAAAGUCUCUUCUGCUGCAGGUUGCUUUGUAGAACUGUUGCAG